rnacentral:tRNA from 1 species
GGCACUGUGGCUCAAUGGUAGAGCACCAGCCUUGAGCUGAAAAGCUGAGGGACAGUGCCC